UUUGGUCAGCCUCGUAAGAAUAAAACUCAAAAGGUAGCAUACGUUAUCGAAUCAAGAUACUGCCGAGUGUUAUGGUUUUCCAUAUUGUUUGAAAGAACAUUGAGCUUGUAAUCGGGACCGUAAUAUUGUAAAUAGUCAUUAUAAGGAAGGUCUUGGAUGGGUUAAUAAACAAUUUACGUAUUGGUACUUACUUUCAUCAAGCUCUUCGCCGGCUAAAAGACCAGUUUCAUAAGUCCAGACACGGGCAACAUUCCGUACAGUAUAUCCACCUCCUCCAACGCAUAUCAUUGGCAAAUUAAAGCUCUUAACAAAAUCAACGCACAUUGAAUGUCCUGUUGAGGGGAAUUAGUAAAAACGAGAAACAGUAGUUACUUACCCUUCAUUGACAGAUUGAAGCAGCCUAGUCGAUCACCAGCGAGAGAAUCUGUUCCACAUUGUAAAAUAACAGCUUCCGGUCGAAACCAUUGCAUUAUGUGACUUAUAACCUAAUUCAGAUUGUUAGAACAAAGAAAUUUAUAAAAAAGACUUACAGGCUUAAAUACGCUUUCAUAAGAUUCAUCGUCAAUACCAUCUCUCAAAGGAACGUUAACAGCAUAGUUUUUUCCUGUUCCAAUUCCGGUGUCCUAAAAUAUUAGAAAAGUAAAUCCAAAUAUAAAGCCGCAUGCAUACCUUGAUAUGACCGGUUCCUGGAAAAUAUUCACCGAAUUUGUGGAAUGAACAAGUCAUAACGCGAUCCGUAGUGUAGAAAAAUUCUUCUACACCGUCUCCGUGGUGAACAUCAAUAUCAAUGUAAAGAACACGUUGAUGAUAUUUCAGCAAUUCUAAAGCAGCCAACGCGAUAUCAUUAACAUAGCAGAAACCAGAAGCUUCACGUUUUUUAGCGUGAUGUAGGCCUCCAGCCCAACUUAAUUAAGUGGUUAGUUGAUCUUCAAAGUACUAAAAAAUCCUCAAUAACAUACUUAAUAGCAAUUUCUGCGUUUCCCGAGUUAAGUUCUUGAGCAGCACCUAAACCAAUGUUAGUUAAAGUCCUAUACUCCAUUCACAAAUUCAGCGGAUGCUUCAAAGCCCCUUUUUUGGGAAAAACUUUUAUCUUACCAAUUGAACCGCCAGCAGAAAUUGAACAAAAUUCGUACAGCCCACUAAACAAUUGUUAGUAUAAAAAAUUUGAUAAACGCACAUACUCAAAAACAGGACAAUCAUCACCGACGUUAACUAAAAUCACGGUUAUUUAUAAAUAAUCGAAAUGAAAUCUUACAUUUCAGCUGAUGCGGUUGAAAUUUUUCCAUCGUGUCAGGUGUAACUCUCCAAAGAAAUUCAAUAUACUCAUCGGUAUGACAACGAGUCAUGUCAUUCCUUGUUGCUCUAACAGGUGUCUUGUAUACUUUAUUAGUAUAAAAAGGAGAAAUAGAACUUACAAUAACGUUCAACUUCUCAUACAAGUUGUAAUUAACGACCAGAUUAUGAACCUAAGUAGGUUAAUGAUGAUAAAUAGUUAUAGCUUUAUAUCAUACCAUGCGAACGCGAUGAGGCUUCAUUGGAUGCUGAGGACCAUAGUGAUAAUUUCCAACAUCCUCUAUUUCAAAAAUUAGCUAGGAUCUUACUAGUUUACACGUACCAUCAUAGAAAUAAGAAACCUUUUUCUUCCCGAACCCCAUAGUUUCAAAUAGGAUUUUCUUUCCCAAUUAUUUAAUAAGGCAAACAGUUUCCUUAUGUUAUCAAUUAAAAAUGUUAGGUUCGGAGCGCUUUCGCGUAGAAUUGUUGCUAUGAUGGAGUGGUCAGAAGCUGAAGCAGCAGCCUGGUUCUAUUGAAUAUUUCUCCCAUCCACGAACUAGUGUUUCAAGAUCUUAAAUAAGUAACGAUUAAUUGUUCAAUUUAAGUAAAAUACUGUUAUAACAAAAAGGACUAACCUUGGAAUGUCUAUUAAAAUGUGCUGUAUGUUUUUUUCAGUGACAGUUUUUGCAUUUUCUCAAAUGAGCAAUAUAAUAAUUCUUUCAUAACCAAUCCAAUUAACAACGAUCGUCAAUGUCAUUUGAUGUUAUUAUUAUACUACUCACCAAAUGU